GCGAGUUUGGUUAGUCCGAGGCUGAUUUGAAAUCAGCCCGAGUUAUGUUUAAAUCAUAAAGCUCGUU
rnacentral:tRNA from 1 species